rnacentral:tRNA from 1 species
CAAAAUUGGUUUUAACUCUAGUGUUAGAAAAGGAACAGUGAUAUUGUUUGAAUAAAAACACUAUUUCAUUUUGA